rnacentral:lncRNA from 1 species
GUCACCGGCGGCUCCGGGGGUGAAGCGGAGACACCGGCGGGGCACGGCGCGGCCCGGCCCCCGCCCCCCGGCCUGCGCGGCCCCGCGGGGAGGGGGCGCGGGCCCGGCCGAGCGGGGCCCUCCCGGCGCUGGAUUCAGGCUCUGUACGCCGGGACGUGGCUGGGGGGGGGAUAUAUAUAUUUUUUUUCCCUGAUUUUCUCUUAUCUCUAUUUUUUUUUUCUCCUUUCAAUCAGACCCGACAGCGGCGCGGCGGCCCGGAGCGGGGGGCGGGAAGGAGUCAGGAAAGUUUAUUGCAACAAAGCGCCGUCUCUGCCUUCCUCGCCCCCCGCCCCGGGCCCGGCCGGCGGCAGGAAGAGGGCCCGCCCGGCGCUGCUCCCCGCCGUCCCCUUCACCCUCCCGCGGGGACGGGGGAACAUUACCGGGGGGCGGCCUCCGCCUCCGCCGAGAGCGGGCUGCAGCAGCGCCGUCCUGCCGGCGGGUCCGUGAGGGGUGCAGUACAGCGAGCUGCCAGCGGGCGGGACGCCGUCCGCCGCCGGGGCAAAGGCACCGGGAGCCUGGGAAGCGGCGGCGGCGACAACACAGGGCGCCGCCGCCGCGCCGGUGCUGCGGAUCUGGAUGAAGAAUUAGAUGGAUACUUCAUGGAACACUUUGGUGAGAAUAAAGAAUUGGCCAGGUGAAAGCUUCUGAAUGAUACUAUCUGCAUUUUCAAGUACUAUUUUCAUUGCUAGAUAGCUCCAUCUUGACAUUGUCCCCUUGUAGUUUACUGUGAAACUUUCUUAGUAUAUUCUCUUAUUAACGUUUUUUUGAUCUUGAGAAAGUACCCCAAACUCAAAGAAACCUAUCCCAGAGAAUAUGAUCUUGAAACCUGAAUGUUACAAAUAAGUGCUUAAAUAUGUCUGAAGAAUACUUAAGAAUAUUUUAAGAA